rnacentral:rRNA from 1 species
UAGAAAUCUGCCCGGUAGUGGGGGAUAACCUGGGGAAACCCAGGCUAAUACCGCAUACGUCCUACGGGAGAAAGCAGGGGAUCUUCGGACCUUGCGCUAUCGGAUGAGUCUAUGUCGGAUUAGCUUGUUGGUGAGGUAAUGGCUCACCAAGGCGACGAUCCGUAGCUGGUCUGAGAGGAUGAUCAGCCACAUCGGGACUGAGACACGGCCCGAACUCCUACGGGAGGCAGCAGUGGGGAAUAUUGGACAAUGGGCGAAAGCCUGAUCCAGCCAUGCCGCGUGUGUGAAGAAGGCCUUCGGGUUGUAAAGCACUUUCAGUGGGGAAGAAAGCCUUGGGGCUAAUACCCUCGAGGAAGGACAUCACCCACAGAAGAAGCACCGGCUAACUCCGUGCCAGCAGCCGCGGUAAUACGGAGGGUGCGAGCGUUAAUCGGAAUUACUGGGCGUAAAGCGCGCGUAGGCGGUCUGAUAAGCCGGUUGUGAAAGCCCCGGGCUCAACCUGGGAACGGCAUCCGGAACUGUCAGGCUAGAGUGCAGGAGAGGAAGGUAGAAUUCCCGGUGUAGCGGUGAAAUGCGUAGAGAUCGGGAGGAAUACCAGUGGCGAAGGCGGCCUUCUGGACUGACACUGACGCUGAGGUGCGAAAGCGUGGGUAGCAAACAGGAUUAGAUACCCUGGUAGUCCACGCCGUAAACGAUGUCGACUAGCCGUUGGGCUCCUUGAGAGCUUAGUGGCGCAGUUAACGCGAUAAGUCGACCGCCUGGGGAGUACGGCCGCAAGGUUAAAACUCAAAUGAAUUGACGGGGGCCCGCACAAGCGGUGGAGCAUGUGGUUUAAUUCGAUGCAACGCGAAGAACCUUACCUACCCUUGACAUCGUGCGAACUUUCCAGAGAUGGAUUGGUGCCUUCGGGAACGCACAGACAGGUGCUGCAUGGCUGUCGUCAGCUCGUGUUGUGAAAUGUUGGGUUAAGUCCCGUAACGAGCGCAACCCUUGUCCUUAUUUGCCAGCGAGUAAUGUCGGGAACUCUAAGGAGACUGCCGGUGACAAACCGGAGGAAGGUGGGGACGACGUCAAGUCAUCAUGGCCCUUACGGGUAGGGCUACACACGUGCUACAAUGGCCGGUACAAAGGGUUGCGAAGCCGCGAGGUGGAGCUAAUCCCGAAAAGCUGGUCUCAGUCCGGAUCGGAGUCUGCAACUCGACUCCGUGAAGUCGGAAUCGCUAGUAAUCGUGAAUCAGAAUGUCACGGUGAAUACGUUCCCGGGCCUUGUACACACCGCCCGUCACACCA